rnacentral:rRNA from 1 species
UACGUAGGGGGCAAGCGUUGUCCGGAUUUAUUGGGCGUAAAGGGCGCGUAGGCGGCCAACUAAGUCAGACGUGAAAUCCCUCGGCUCAACCGGGGAACUGCGUCUGAUACUGGAUGGCUUGAAUUCGGGAGAGGGAUGCGGAAUUCCAGGUGUAGCGGUGAAAUGCGUAGAUAUCUGGAGGAACACCGGUGGCGAAGGCGGCAUCCUGGACCGAGAUUGACGCUGAUGCGCGAAAGCCAGGGGAGCAAACGGG